rfam:Triticum aestivum genome assembly, contig: Triticum_aestivum_CS42_TGACv1_scaffold_251993_3DL
UCAAUAUUCCCUCCGUUCGAAAUUACUUGUCUCGAAAAUGGAUGUAUUUAGAACUAAAAUAUGUCUAGAUACAUCCAUUUCUGUGACAAGUAAUUUCAAGCGGAGGGAGUACUUU